rnacentral:tRNA from 1 species
GGUGCCAUAGCCAAGUGGUAAGGCGCUGGUCUGCAAAACCUGUAUUCCCCGGUUCGAAUCCGGGUGGCACCUCCA